CCUACGGGAGGCAGCAGUCGAGAAUCAUUCACAAUGGGGGCAACCCUGAUGGUGCGACGCCGCGUGGGGGAAUGAAGGUCUUCGGAUUGUAAACCCCUGUCAUGUGGGAGCAAAGUAAAAAGUUAGUACCACAUGAGGAAGAGACGGCUAACUCAGUGCCAGCAGCCUCGGUAAUACAGAGGUCUCAAGCGGUGUUCGGAAUCACUGGGGGUAAAGGGUGCGUAGGCCGUUUCGUAAGUCGUGUGUGAAAGGCGCGGGCUCAACCCGCGGACCGCAAAUGAUACUGCGAGACUAGGGGAGUGGGAGGGGAACCGGAAUUCUCGGUGUAGCAGUGAAAUGCGUAGAUAACGAG
rnacentral:rRNA from 1 species